UGGUUCAAGCCUGUAGUCAUGCCCGGUAGGCAAAUCCGCCGGGCUUAGAUGAGGGGUGAUAAGGAGUGUGCUUGCACACGAACUGAGUGAUACCCUGCUUCCAGGAAAAGCCACUAAGCUUCAGCUUGUAACGACCGUACCGCAAACCGACACUGGUGCGCGAGAUGAGUAUUCUAAGGCGCUUGAGAGAACUCUGGAGAAGGAACUCGGCAAAUUGAUACCGUAACUUCGGGAGAAGGUAUGCCCCUAGUAGGUGAACUCGAACAGAGGGAGCCCAAUGGGGUUGCAAAAAAUCGGUGGCUGCGACUGUUUAAUAAAAACACAGCACUCUGCAAACACGAAAGUGGACGUAUAGGGUGUGACGCCUGCCCGGUGCUGGAAGAUUAAAUGAUGGGGUGCAAGCUCUUGAUUGAAGUCCCAGUAAACGGCGGCCGUAACAAUAACGGUCCUAAGGUAGCGAAAUUCCUUGUCGGGUAAGUUCCGACCUGCACGAAUAGCGUAACGAUGGCCGCACUGUCUCCUCCAGAGACUCAGCGAAGUUGAAAUGUUUGUGAUGAUGCAAUCUCCCCGCGGAAAGACGGAAAGACCCCAUGAACCUUUACUGUAGCUUUGCAUUGGACUUUGAACAGAUCUGUGUAGGAUAGGUGGGAGGCUUUGAAGCCGGAACGCUAGUUUCGGUGGAGCCAACGUUGAAAUACCACCCUGGUGUGUUUGAGGUUCUAACCUAGGUCCAUUAUCUGGAUCGGGGACAGUGCAUGGUAGGCAGUUUGACUGGGGCGGUCUCCUCCCAAAGUGUAACGGAGGAGUUCGAAGGUACGCUAGUUACGGUCGGACAUCGUGAUAAUAGUGCAAUGGCAUAAGCGUGCUUAACUGCGAGACUGACAAGUCGAGCAGAUGCGAAAGCAGGACAUAGUGAUCCGGUGGUUCUGUAUGGAAGGGCCAUCGCUCAACGGAUAAAAGGUACUCUGGGGAUAACAGGCUGAUACCGCCCAAGAGUUCAUAUCGACGGCGGUGUUUGGCACCUCGAUGUCGGCUCAUCUCAUCCUGGGGCUGUAGCCGGUCCCAAGGGUAUGGCUGUUCGCCAUUUAAAGAGGUACGUGAGCUGGGUUUAAAACGUCGUGAGACAGUUUGGUCCCUAUCUUCCGUGGGCGCUGCAGAUUUGAGGAAGCCUGCUCCUAGUACGAGAGGACCGGAGUGGACACACCUCUGGUGUAUCGGUUGUCACGCCAGUGGCAUUGCCGAGUAGCUAAGUGUGGAAGAGAUAACCGCUGAAAGCAUCUAAGCGGGAAACUCGUUUCAAGAUGAGAUCUGCCGGGGCCUUGAGCCCCCUAAAGAGUCGUUCAAGACCAGGACGUUGAUAGGUCAGGUGUGGAAGCGCAGUAAUGCGUUAAGCUAACUGAUACUAAUUGCUCGUGCGGCUUGACCCC
rnacentral:rRNA from 1 species